UGCAUAUUAUUUGCUCUUUGGUGAUUUUAGCUGUAUGGUGUUUAUGUAUAUUCCAUAGAGCUUUAUUACCAAAAACCAAAUGGUUUCUGCA
ensembl:ncRNA mir-9b mir-9b stem loop